GGCCACAUGGUGUAAUGGCUCAGCACGUCGGAUUCUGAUUUUCGUAAGAAGAUAGUUCCGGAGAUCUUGGUUCGAUUCCUAGUGAGGCCU